UGCAGGGAAUCCAUGCUACCGUGGUGGCGACGAAUUAAAUGUUAUAAGGUCUUUGUCUAAGGGCGAUGGUCUCAUGAGCGAAGCAGAUUAUCCUUACGAAAAUGAAAAGCAAAAAAAAGGCGAGUGCAUUAUUAACAAGCGAAAAGUCAAAGUCAAGUGGCAUCAGGAUGUUCUAUUCAAACACCGGACGAGGAGUCUCUAAAAUUAGCACUACUGGAAUACGGACCCCUUGCAAUAAGUAAGCAUCACCUCAUCACCUGGCCUGAUCACCAUUAAUAUUUAGAAGAUAAUUAUGAUCAUCAAGAACUAACAUAUAGGCUAGAUAGAACUAGGAAUGUAGAUAAGAACCGGUGCUAGUUUUUGAUAUAUGCAUAAGUGCAUUGCCUAAAGUGAAGAAUGAAGAAUUUCAUUACAAUUUUUUUAUAUUCAUAUCCGCAUUUUUUUAUUCUCUGUGAACUUUAUAACUUUUUAUAAGCCGUGAUAGCAACUUUCUCUUUCAUUUGUCUGAGAUAUGUAUGUCUUGGUCUCGCCUUUUCCAAUCAUAAGGGUAGCGAAAUUGCUAAACUUUCUCACUGUUCUAGCCAGCUCUAUCUACCUUCCAGAGAAAUAUAUAAAAAUAUGGGCUCGUUAUAUAGGCUCUUUUCUCAAAUAAUAGAAAAGGUAUUUUCCUAAAAAUCCUACAAAAAAACAUUUGCAAUAUAACAAAAACAAAUAAACAGGUCUACAUAUACAUACAUGUACCGGAAAGCGUUUUAACGAUAUUUUAUUGGAUUUAAGUUCGUAUAAUAUAUAAUAGUAAAAUCGUGAUAUAUCCGUUAAACUAAAAACAUCAGCCAUUAUAAAUGAUUGCCAAUUGGCCAUACUUAGGUCCGUAUUUUGUCUGGUGUAAACUAAAAAGAUUAUUCACAGAAUAAAAACACCUUCGCGAACGUAAGCCACAAACACCGUUGUUCUGCCGUUUCAAUGAUCACAUAAACCAGCAAUGUCAUCGGUUCCCGGUUUUAUUAUGUUUCGGAAGCCCGCCGUCCCGCGGGAAAUCCCGGGAAGCCCGCCAGUCCGCUUUAUGUCUCGGACCCGCCUAAUGCGGUAGCUUAGAGUAAUGAAAUCAAAACAAAACAUAUCUUACACUAGUGUUUGAUUUAGAAAUCACAAAUAUUAAUUGUUCAGGAGUAUAAAAUUGUAUGAUUUGUAUUGUAUGUAUGUCCUGCCCUGCGGGCGUGAGUGAUUGCAUUCACGCCCGCAGGGCAGGACUAAAACAGAUUUGAAUAAAACCCACGAAGUACUAAUUUGUAUCCUUUAUUAAAACACUUUAUCUACUUCCAUAUCAUAACUUUCUACAAUAUGUUCAGAAACUAUAAACUAAUGGCCUAUAUUAACAAACUUUCAUCUGUUUCAAGUAAAAAUUACAAUUCAAAAUUGUAAUUUUUACUUUACGUUAUCGAUAUUUUAAUUACAUUCAAAUUUAGAACAUCUCUGAGAAAUAAAGGAAUUUGAUUUGACCUUUAUUCUCAUAUCAGUCUAGAUGACGUUUUAUUCGAAAUGAAAUGUCAGUUGCCACAAUUUUGAAUAAUCUCGUAUGUUACUUUUUUUUAAUCUUUAUUUAUUUAUUGAGGGUUUUUAAAUAAAUGCCACCCUCAUAGUGGCUCUCUAACAAAACUACACCAGUCUAAUUUUCACUAUUUCUACG